CACUCCAUGAUAGCUCAGUUGGUAGAGCUUGAGAUUCUUGAUCUGAGGGUCGUGGGUUUGAUCCCGAUGUUGGGUGA